UACGUAGGGGGCAAGCGUUGUCCGGAAUCAUUGGGCGUAAAGAGCGUGUAGGCGGCCCGAUAAGUCCGUCGUGAAAGUCCAGGGCUCAACCCUGGGAUGCCGGUGGAAACUGUCGGGCUAGAGUCCGGAAGAGGCGAGUGGAAUUCCUGGUGUAGCGGUGAAAUGCGCAGAUAUCAGGAGGAACACCGAUGGCGAAGGCAGCUCGCUGGGACAGUACUGACGCUGAGACGCGAAAGCGUGGGGAGCGAACAGG
rnacentral:rRNA from 1 species